GAUGACUGUCCUGUAGGCUUCAGUGUCCACCAUCUAUGGUAUAGGAGCCCAAGCAAGCUGGAUGGAGAUUUUACUUCUGUAGAUCUCCAGACUGUACUCAGCCACAGAUGAGAGCGAGCCAGACUGUGCAGAGCCAAAGGAGCCUAAGAAGAAGGGGACAAAGGUAGCAGGAAAGAACGAUGCUCUUCAAGUACAUUUACAGUGUUGAGAGCUAAGCAAUCCUGACUAUGCUCUACGGGCCUCUUUGUACCAUGCUUUCUAUGAGCCAUGUGUUCAAAAUAAGGGGAAGAGAGGGUUAUGAAUGUGGGUUGUAAAUAAUUGCAUAGAUAAAGCAAACCCCAGUGUACAAUUGGAUGGGGUAAACGCAUGUGACCCCCACCUUGGGAAAAGCUCCAUGGUGGGUGUAGCCUGGUGAAUGCUUUUUGCCGGUCAGAAGAUAAGAUGAAGAGACAAGUUUUGGAAGUCGAGAAGACGCAACUUAGCAGAAGCUUUUUGUUGUUAUUGUUAAGGAUUUACACCUUCCAGGACAAUUAAAAGCUGAACUGAAG
rnacentral:lncRNA from 1 species